UUUCCGUAGGUGAACCUGCGUAAGGAUCAUAACCUUUCAAAAAACAGGGUGCGUCGCGGCCCCCCUCCGGGGGCGGUUUGGGGUCCUCCCCUUCACGCGCGCACGACUGCAUCCUUACUUUACGAGCACCUUCUGUUCUCCCUCGGCGGGGCAACCUGCCGUUGGAACCGAAUAAACCCUUUUUUGCAUCCAGCAUUACCCGUUCAGAAACAGACAAUCGUUACAACUUUCAACAAUGGAUCUCUUGGCUCUGGCAUCGAUGAAGAACGCAGCGAAAUGCGAUAAGUAGUGUGAAUUGCAGAAUUCAGUGAAUCAUCGAAUCUUUGAACGGGCAUUGCGCCCCUUGGAAUUCCGGGGGGCAUGCCUGCCCGAGCGUCAUCUACACCCUCAAGCUCUGCUUGGUGUUGGGCGUCUGUCCCGCCUCAGCGCGCGGAAUCUCCCCAAAUCCAUUGGCAGCGGUCCUUGCGGCCUCUCGCGCACCACAUUGCGCUUCUCGAGGGGCUUCGGCCCGCGUCCAACAAGAAAACAUUACCGUCUUUGACCUCGGAUCAGGUAGGGAUACCCGCUGAACUUAAGCAUAUCAAUAAG
rnacentral:rRNA from 1 species